CAGUUGAAAGAGGCAUAUAAAAAUGUUUGCCACUCAGGGUUCGUCUAACCACUUCUAUCAAUUCUUUCUCCCUGGUGAACUAAGUGGUCCUCCAUCGCUGAGAGAUGUCUUCUGGAAUAGGGUGCUCCAACCCAUGCGAAGUGAACUGCCCACAGCCACAGGCUGUCACCGACAAUGAGCCAUGUGUUAUCACCUGUCCUGACUCAAGAGUGAUCAUCUACCCGCCACCAGUGGUUGUCACUUUCCCGGGACCAAUUCUCACCACUUGCCCUCAGGAAAGUGUAGUGGCAUCCACAGCAUCAGCUGACACUGUGCCAGCUGAAAUGCCAGCCUCGGUACCUUUGACCACAGCGGUCAGUGGAAGUUUGGAGCCAUGCGCUGAGACCAUUGCACCCCCAAUUAUUCCGAGACCCUUGUCUCGGUAUGUUCCUAAAUAUUCACAUACUUACUCUUCCCAUUGGAUGCAUCCUUGCAAUACAAACCGGUUUGGAAAGCGCUGGGCAUAUUAAACCCAGAAGAAGUAGCCAUGGUACAAUUUAGAUACAGUGACUGAAAGUCAAGGUCCAGAUUCAUGGCUGAGCUAAGGGACUGGUUCUCAGAAGUGCUGAGGCCCAUGACUCCAACUAAAGUCAGUAAGAACUGUAAGCAUUCAGCACCUCUAAAAACCAGGCCUAUAUAUAGAGAUAGAAAUAUAGAUAUCUAUAGCUCAUAUUGCCCUUUAUUUUAGAUCAGUUAUCUAAUGGCUGCCCAGCUUAAUCUUAUGCUUGCACUGUGCUUUGCCUUAUCUGACACUGGCUCUGGUCAAAUAAAUCAUGUGGGUGGUUUGAAAACAAGACUUAAUUGUCAAACUCUUCAGCUGCGGGAAAGAAA